CGCCGGUUGUUUAAAACCUAAUGGUGAUAAGGUUGCUGCGAUGACUAUUUCUAUAGUAAUGCUUGAGGUGUAUUCUCAAUUGCCUUUUGUAGCUGCUGCAUAGGAGUCCAAUUAUCACCGUCAAAAACUCUAAAAAAUCUGAAUGCAACUGAAAACAUUCAGUUGUGCCCAUCUAGUGUUGCAGCUAAAGAUAAGUUGCCACUCCAUCUACCAUUGAGAGUUGUGGAGCUUAUACUCAGAAAUCCCCUACAACCAUUCAUGAAACGAUCAAUGCUUGGUUACUUCAAACAACAAACGAAUCUAUGGAAAUAUACACCAUCUUCCUGAUUUAAGACAUCUAUCUCUAUAAUACUUCCUGGUAUUCUGAACUCAACCUCUGCCUUAAAGUUAAACAAAUAUCUAAAACUUGUUUCCCAUGUACUAGAUAUGUGUUAUGUUGCCUUCUCCCUACCAAGAUGCGCCGUUAAAUACUCAAUUUUCACUUGACAAUUCUGCCUACCAAGACACGCAUGAUAAAUUCUGCCCACAUGUUGAUGUCAAAUCAUUUGCUCGCAACUCUCUUUGCCUGGUUGAAAAUCUCAGGUUUUUAGCAACCAUUGUUUUUAGUUCAUUCGAUCUUAACUGCAUCAACACCUAACCCCGUACAGUAAAACACAAGUCAUAAAUAAGCAGCCCCUUCUUAUGUACCUGGCUCCAACCCUGGGCACUAGGGACCAGCAUCCUAUCAAAUCCUUACACUUCUCUUAAGGGCCUGUUUAGAUUUGGGAUGGAAAUUUUUUGGCUGUCACAUCAGAUGUGCCGGAAGGAUAUCGGGAGAGGUUUUUAGAAACUAAUAAAAAAAUAAAUUACAUAGCUCGUCAGGAAACUGCAAGACAAAUUUAUUAAGCAUAAUUAAUCUGUCAUUAGCAUAUGUGGGUUACUGUAGCACUUAAAGCUAAUCAUGGAGUAACUAGGCUUAAAAGAUUCAUCUCGUGAUUCUCAACUAAACUGUGUAAUUAGUUUAUUUUUUUAUCAACAUUUAAUGUUCCAUGCAUGUGUCCAAAGAUUCGAUGGGAUGGAUGAAAAAUUUUUAGAUGGGGAACUAAACAGGGCCUAAACCCACUACAAAUGCUCCAAAGAAACAAAGCUAACAAUGAUGGUAUGCGUGACGCGAGCAUCAAAAUUUUGAUAAGAAAGGUUCUGGAACGAAGCACACACAAUAUACAAUAAGUUGUGAAGUGGCAAUUGCAGUCGAAGGAAGCUUCCUACCCAAAAGGGAAACGAACAGUUAGAAAAUAGUCACGAGUCACGACGUGGUGUACUGGUGCAUGACCUCACCAGACUAAGAAUAAUAUAUGUUUCUCAGAAGCUUGAGCCUGCCUGAAUGGCGACCUACCAGAAACGAACCAACAUUUCAAAUUUCAAAUAGCAAGGACAAUGAGAGCCACAUUAUAUAAUACAAGUAUAGAACUAAACGCUGGUAUUAAAAAACGAAUGCAAGAAGAGAGGAGAAGAACGUAUAGGCUACAAACAAAAGCAAUAAAGAAAAUCGGAGCCCAUUGCUUAUCUUCUGCUCAGCGGCUCCAUUAAUUAAUUAAAUAACCUGAUGCUACGACCUUCUAAACAACAGGGCCUUUGCAUAAUAAACUACACUGAGUAAGGGAGAAGGGGUGCAUGAAAUGAAGUGCUCUGAGUCUCUGACCCAGCACAAGCGAGGCUCGUGGAGGGGCGCCCGGGGCACGGGCACACCACGCACCGGGCGCGUCUGCAGCGGUGGCUGCCAGGCGCCGAGCAGCCGCGGCAGGCGGGGGCUUGCUUCUUUGAAAUGGACGGUCAGGGGAGGAGCCACUUGGCAGGCAGCCGCCUUCCUAUUGUAUUUCAAAAAUGGUAGUAGAUCAGACAGGCUUAGUUGGUACUCCCUCUAUACAAAAAAAAAAACCCUGAUGUUUUGGACUCCUAUACAGUUCUUACAAAACUUGAUGUUCUACUAAGGCCUUGUUUAGUUCAAAAAAAAUUACAAAAUUUUUUAGAUUCUCUAUC
rnacentral:lncRNA from 1 species